rnacentral:lncRNA from 1 species
GCUACUGGUGACAGCAGGAGAGCCCAACGUAGUCGUUAUUCGUUAAGGCUGCCACCUGUAACCACUGACUGAAGACAAAAGAGGCUUUGUCCACUCUGUAAAACGUCUCUUGAUUGCUGCUUCAGCGUUGGUACUUAGGAAGAGAGGAUGCUUGUGAUGCUGUCAGGUUUUGGACCGUGUAAAAUGAUUUUAUAUGGAUCUUCUAUCAAAAGGUUAAAAGAGAGUAAACAUCAAGAGAAACAAGCAAAAAGGAGAGGUGUGUGACUCCUAUCAGGGAACUCGGAGCCCAUUUCAAGUUACUGCAUACUCAAGAGAAAGAUAAAUGCAAAGGAACUGUUCAUGUGUUCAGUGUGUAAAAUUCACAAAGAAGGAAAUGGCAUCUAAGUAAGUUUAAUGUACAACAUGUGCAAAUUCAGCCUUGCAAAGAUUGUCAUAACAUUUUCAAGCUCUUGUCCAAAUUCUGCUUGCUUUCCUGUAUAGAUAAUUAUGUUAGGUAAAACCCUUC